CCUACGGGUGGCAGCAGUGAGGAAUAUUGGUCAAUGGGCGGGAGCCUGAACCAGCCAAGCCGCGUGAAGGAAGAAGGCGCCAAGCGUCGUAAACUUCUUUUGUCGGGGAACAAAGGGCGCCACGUGUGGCGCUGUGAGAGUACCCGAAGAAACAGCAUCGGCUAACUCCGUGCCAGCAGCCGCGGUAAUACGGAGGAUGCGAGCGUUAUCCGGAUUUAUUGGGUUUAAAGGGUGCGCAGGCGGAUUUUUAAGUCAGCGGUCAAAUCGUGGGGCUCAACCCCAUCCAGCCGUUGAAACUGGGGAUCUAGAGUGUGCGAGAGGUAUGCGGAAUGCGUGGUGUAGCGGUGAAAUGCAUAGAUAUCACGCAGAACCCCGAUUGCGAAGGCAGCAUACCGGUGCACAACUGACGCUCAGGCACGAAAGCGUGGGUAUCGAACAGGAUUAGAUACCCGGGUAGUC
rnacentral:rRNA from 1 species